AUUGAACGCUGGCGGCAGGCCUAGCACAUGCAAGUCGAGCGGAUGACGGGAGCUUGCUCCUUGAUUCAGCGGCGGACGGGUGAGUAAUGCCUAGGAAUCUGCCUGGUAGUGGGGGACAACGUUUCGAAAGGAACGCUAAUACCGCAUACGUACUACGGGAGAAAGCAGGGGACCUUCGGGCCUUGCGGUAUCAGAUGAGCCUAGGUCUGAUUAGCUAGUUGGUUGGGGAAUGGCUCACCAAGGCGACGAUCCGUAACUGGUCUGAGAGGAUGAUCAGUCACACUGGAACCGAGACACGGUCCAGACUCCUACGGGAGGCAGCAGUGUGUAAUAUUGGACAAUGGGCGAAAGCCUGAUCCAGCCAUGCCGCGUGUGUGAAGAAGGUCUUCGGAUUGUAAAGCACUUUAAGUUGGGAGGAAGGGCAGUAAGUUAAUACCUUGCUGUUUUGACGUUACCGACAGAAUAAGCACCGGCUAACUCUGUGCCAGCCGCCGCCGUAAGAC
rnacentral:rRNA from 1 species